CCUACGGGUGGCAGCAGUGGGGAAUAUUGGGCAAUGGGCGCAAGCCUGACCCAGCAACGCCGCGUGAAGGAAGAAGGCUUUCGGGUUGUAAACUUCUUUUGUCAGGGACGAAGAAAGUGACGGUACCUUACGAAUAAGCCACGGCUAACUACGUGCCAGCAGCCGCGGUAAUACGUAGGGGGGAAGCGUUAUACGGAUUUACUGGGUGUAAAGGGCGUGUAUGUGGGGAAGCAAGUCAGAUGGUAAAACCACGGGCUUAAACUGUGGCCUGCAUUUGAUACUGUUUUUCUUGAGUUCUUGAGAGGUAAUCGGAAUUCCGUGUGUAGCGGUGAAAUGCGUAGAUAUACGGAGGAACACCAGUGGCGAAGGCGGAUUGCUGGAUCGUAACUGACGCUGAGGGGCGAAAGCGUGGGGAGCAAACAGGAUUAGAUACCCGGGUAGUC
rnacentral:rRNA from 1 species